rnacentral:rRNA from 1 species
GGGUAGUUUGACUGGGGCGGUCUCCUCCUAAAGAGUAACGGAGGAGCACGAAGGUUGGCUAAUCCUGGUCGGACAUCAGGAGGUUAGUGCAAUGGCAUAAGCCAGCUUGACUGCGAGCGUGACGGCGCGAGCAGGUGCGAAAGCAGGUCAUAGUGAUCCGGUGGUUCUGAAUGGAAGGGCCAUCGCUCAACGGAUAAAAGGUACUCCGGGGAUAACAGGCUGAUACCGCCCAAGAGUUCAUAUCGACGGCGGUGUUUGGCACCUCGAUGUCGGCUCAUCACAUCCUGGGGCUGAAGUAGGUCCCAAGGGUAUGGCUGUUCGCCAUUUAAAGUGGUACGCGAGCUGGGUUUAGAACGUCGUGAGACAGUUCGGUCCCUAUCUGCCGUGGGCGCUGGAGAACUGAGGGGGGCUGCUCCUAGUACGAGAGGACCGGAGUGGACGCAUCACUGGUGUUCGGGUUGUCAUGCCAAUGGCACUGCCCGGUAGCUAAAUGCGGAAGAGAUAAGUGCUGAAAGCAUCUAAGCACGAAACUUGCCCCGAGAUGAGUUCUCCCUGAGACUUUAAGUCUCCUGAAGGAACGUUGAAGACGACGACGUUGAUAGGCCGGGUGUGUAAGCGCAGCGAUGCGUUGAGCUAACCGGUACUAAUGAACCGUGAGGCUUAACCUU